rnacentral:lncRNA from 1 species
AAAAAAUGUGCUGUCCUCUACCCAUGAAAGUGAUCAGCUAACAAAUUCUGGUAAGUGUUUUUAAUGUAGUUAAAUUCCAUUUAUUUUACUUAAAUUGAUUGUCUACUUCAGGAGUGUACAUUGCUUAAAUGUGUUCCUCUCCUUCCAUGUCACUUUUGAAGUGAAAUUAGGGGAUGAUAGAGCAAGACUUCAGCCAGAGGGAGGUGGCUCUUCAGCUCUAAAACGCAGGCAUGCAAGACCACUUGAGCUUGACAGUGAUGAUGAAGACGAAGAAGAGGACAAUAAAAGUAUUGAUACUGAAACUAUGUUAGACAAAGAGGAACCUGUGCUAGUUGAUGACGCUCCUAAAGUCCAGUGUAACAGAGGUGAGCUUGAUGAUGAGGAGGAAGAGGAGGCGGUGCAAAAGUACUCCAAGGGUAAAGACAUCAUCAUCUCCAAAGCUACUGAUGGAGUGCAACUCUCAGAUAGUGAGAUUCUUUCAGAGACGGGCUCCUCAGAGGAAAGUGAUUACUCAUCAGACUUUGAGUCCUCUGACUCUUACUCCACACAGAGCACUGGCAACUCAUCUUACUCUGACCUCAGCUCUGAGGAGGAUGAAGACAUGGAGGACAGCUGCAUAGAGAUACCACCAGAUGAGGAAUCAAUGGACUUAGAGCCCCCAGUCACCCCCUCAGCUCCUCUUACCCCCGGUGCUGAGCUGGAGCUGGGUCUGCAUGACUGGUCAGAGGGGCUUCAAAGGAGGGAACCACAAGAUGACCUGUACACAUGUAAACAUGACCCCAGUGAUCUGGAUGCUGUGAUGGACUUUGUAACCAGCGACCGCCAGGAUAGCCUCACGCCUCCAUCACCUAUAGGAAUUCCAGUGGUGGAGCCUAACUUUGAUGUGGAGGUAGAGAGCCCUGAAUGGAGGAUGGAGUCACUCGAUAACAUGGAAAGGCCCCUCACUCCUUCUGGCUACUUAAUAGACAGUGACCCUGAGCUGCCGAUAAGGCAUAAAACAACGCCCUCUGCUGUGGAGGUGGAGGAACGUCCACACACUCCAGGUCAGGGCAUAGUGGCUCAUGUUGAGACUGGGGACUGCAUGGAUGAACUCCUUUCUUUCUCUCCAGCAAGCAGUGAGGCUGCCCUGUCUCCCUCCGAGCUGCAGGUCUCCUACACAGUCAACGAGGACAUGCCCAAAACACCCGGUGCAGAGGAGAGAGGUAGAUGGACUCCAUACAGCUCUGGGAGAGCUCCAGCAACACCGGGCAGAGAGACAACUCUGUCAGAGGCAAGCACAGUGAGGAGUCCACCUCUCAGUAGCCCGCUCUCCUUUCAAUCCCUUCAAUCCAACAAUCUUUAUACUAGUACCCCACGAACUCCUGGAAGAACAACAGCCCACCAGAAGAGGGCACGAAUGAUGACCACCUCACAGGGAGGAAAUGUUUUCUUCCCUCUGCUGUGUGAUGAGUCUCUCACAGGCUCCCCCAUCGUAGUGUCCUCUCCCUGCAGACUCUCUGAGUCCUCAGCAGACACUCCUGAUGAGAAGGGUGUGUGGAUGAGUGCAGGUGUGAGGACCAAGCCAUUGCAGGGGUUGGAAAAUAUGCCGGGCCUCCUGCAUGAGGAGAGCAGGAGAGAGACAGAGAGGUUCUUACUUUUGAGAGAACAAAGGAGGUGGCAGAAGAUGAGGAGAAAGAGGAGGAAACUGCGACAACGGCAGCGACAGCGAUCACUAAAAAGAGUCACUGCUUCACUUUCUUCUCUCAAAGGUCCUUACAGGUGCCGUUCACUAUGUGAAGAGAUGAGAAUCCUCCACUCUGUUUGGAAGAAGGGCCUUGAUGAAGAAGAUGCAGGCCUGCUGCACAUUACAUAUGAGAGGCUGAAACAGCAAGAUAAUGCUUUUGGUUGGCUCAGUGACACCAUCUGGAUACAUCAUCCUUAUAUCCUUUUAAACAGACAGGGGGAGAAUUCAAAUGAAUUUGCUUAGUUUGCUAAGUCAGUAA